CCCAGAGUACUACUAGCAACAGCCUAAAACUCAAAGGACUUGGCGGUGCUUUAUAUCCCUCUAGAGGAGCCUGUUCUGUAAUCGAUAAACCCCGAUAAACCUCACCAGUCCUUGCUAAUACAGCCUAUAUACCGCCAUCUUCAGCRAACCCURAAAAGGAGYCACAGUAAGCCAAACCAURYAACAUAAAAACSUUAGGUCRAGGUGUAGCCWAUGGGYYGGGAAGAAAUGGGCUACAUUUUCUAAYAUAGAACAUAACGAAACUUUUCGUGAAACCGARAACGGAAGGAGGAUUUAGUAGUAAAUUAAGAAUAGAGAGCUUAAUUGAAUAAGGCCAUGAAGCACGC
rnacentral:rRNA from 1 species